rnacentral:rRNA from 1 species
UACAGAGACUGCAAGCGUUAUUCGGAUUCACUGGGCGUAAAGGGUGCGCAGGCGGUUGUGUGUGUCAGGUGUGAAAGCCCGGGGCUUAACCCCGGAAUUGCGCCUGAAACUACAUGACUAGAGCAUUGGAGAGGGUGAGAGCGGAAUUCACGGUGUAGCAGUGAAAUGCGUAGAUAUCGUGAGGAACACCAGAGGCGAAGGCGGCUACCUGGACAAUUGCUGACGCUCAGGCACGAAAGCGUGGGGAGCAAACGGG